AUUUGAUGAUGUGGACAUCUAGCUAGCAUAGAUUGGAAUCUAUUCCAAAACUCAAAAAGACUUUCAUCAAAAUUUUGUACCAUGCUUAUGAUUUGUUUUCUCAAGUU